rnacentral:rRNA from 1 species
GGCAUCGCCCUUCGGGGAGAGCCGCAGCAUGCAACCCUUGCCUAUGUCUACCAUUCGUUAUUCCCUCGGCGGGGUGACCUGCCGACGGGGACCAACAAACCCUUUUGCAUAAGCAUCGAAAUUCUGAAAACACGCAAAAUAAUCACAACUUUCAACAAUGGAUCUCUUGGUUCUGGCAUCGAUGAAGAACGCAGCGAAAUGCGAUAAGUAGUGUGAAUUGCAGACUUUAGUGAAUCAUCGAAUCUUUGAACGCACAUUGCGCCCCUUGGUAUUCCAUUGGGCAUGCCUGUUCGAGCGUCAUUUACACCCUCAAGCUCCGCUUGGUGUUGGGCGUCUGUCCCCGCUUCGUGCGGGACUCGCCCUAAAAGCAUUGGCAGCGGCUCCGCCGGCUUCUCGCGCAGCACUUUGCGCCUCGGGAGGCUUUCGGCGGGUCCGCGUCCAUGAAGAACCCCCCCAGUUUGACCUCGAAUCAGGUAGGGAUACCCGCUGAACUUAAGCAUAUCAAUAA